rnacentral:rRNA from 1 species
CGUUCCCGGGCCUUGUACACACCGCCCGUCAAGUCACGAAAGUUGGUAACACCCGAAGCCGGUGGCCUAACCCCUUGUGGGAGGGAGCUGUCGAAGGUGGGACUGGCGAUUGGACU